CCUCCUUUCUACGGAGUACAAAGCUUUUUAAUGUGCUGUAACCCAACUAGCCCUAUCCCAAUAAAAAAAAUUUUGUUAUGUGGCUUUUUUGGGCCUAAACCUUAAAACCAAGUUUUGAGAGACCAAAAUUUUUCUCUCUAAUGUUCUUUGAAAACUGAAUAGUAAAUUUUUUGAGAUGUACACCGCCACCCCAACUAAAUUAAAUGGGUAAUUUGUUUUGAUUUCAUCGAGACGAAAUCAUAUUAUUAUGAUUACAUUGAAAUGUCUUAAAAUACACAUCAUAACAACCUAUAACAAUAGGCAAAUACUU
rnacentral:misc_RNA from 1 species